rnacentral:rRNA from 1 species
UACGUAGGGUGCAAGCGUUGCCCGGAAUUAUUGGGCGUAAAGAGCUCGUAGGCGGUCUGUCGCGUCUGCUGUGAAAACUCAGGGCUUAACCCUGAGCUUGCAGUGGGUACGGGCAGACUAGAGUGCGGUAGGGGAGACUGGAAUUCCUGAUGUAGCGGUGAAAUGCGCAGAUAUCAGGAAGAACACCCGUGGCGAAGGCGGCUCUCUGGAACGCAACUGACGCGAAGACGCGAAAGCGUGGGGAGCAAACAGG